rnacentral:rRNA from 1 species
UAGGGGAGCCGAAGGGAAACCGAGUCUUAAUUGGGCGUUAAGUUGCAGGGUAUAGACCCGAAACCCGGUGAUCUAGCCAUGGGCAGGUUGAAGGUUGGGUAACACUAACUGGAGGACCGAACCGACUAAUGUUGAAAAAUUAGCGGAUGACCUGUGGCUGGGGGUGAAAGGCCAAUCAAACCGGGAGAUAGCUGGUUCUCCCCGAAAGCUAUUUAGGUAGCGCCUCGUGAACUCAUCUCCGGGGGUAGAGCACUGUUUCGGCUAGGGGGCCAUCCCGGCUUACCAACCCGAUGCAAACUGCGAAUACCGGAGAAUGUUAUCACGGGAGACACACGGCGGGUGCUAACGUCCGUCGUGAAGAGGGAAACAACCCAGACCGCCAGCUAAGGUCCCAAAGUCAUGGUUAAGUGGGAAACGAUGUGGGAAGGCCCAGACAGCCAGGAUGUUGGCUUAGAAGCAGCCAUCAUUUAAAGAAAGCGUAAUAGCUCACUGGUCGAGUCGGCCUGCGCGGAAGAUGUAACGGGGCUAAACCAUGCA